GCCGCAUGGCCAGGUGGUGGCAAAGAUUUAUCCGGUBGGGGAUGGACUCGCGGCCUAUCAGCUUGUUGGUGAGGUAAUGGCUCACCAAGGCGACGACGGGUAGCCGGCCUGAGAGGGUGACCGGCCACACUGGGACUGAGACACGGCCCAGACUCCUACGGGAGGCAGCAGUGGGGAAUAUUGCACAAUGGGCGAAAGCCUGAUGCAGCGACGCCGCGUGAGGGAUGACGGCCUUCGGGUUGUAAACCUCUUUCAGUAGGGAAGAAGCGAAAGUGACGGUACCUGCAGAAGAAGCGCCGG
rnacentral:rRNA from 1 species